AUUUAGGGCCAUACCACCCUGAAUAUUCCUGAUCUUGGAAGCUAAACAGGAUUGGGCCUGAUUAGUAUUUGAAUAGGAAGACUACAUAGUUCUUGUGAGCAUUUUAUGUC
rnacentral:rRNA from 1 species